GGAGAGGUGGCUGAGUUGGCUGAAGGCACUCGCCUGGAAAGCGAGUAGACGGGGUUAAAACUCGUCUCGCGGGUUCGAAUCCCGCCCUCUCCGCCA
rnacentral:tRNA from 1 species